AGUUAUUUAUACUCAAGGAACGUAUGUUAGAAUCCUUAGUUACUCUUACGAUGAGUUGCAAUCCUGCCAUCAUACAAGGCGGUCACUCCUCUCCCAUUCAGCCUAGGAUUCUUCAGGCGGACGUUCCACCCAAGAUUCCAGCAAAGUACUGUACAUCUAAAAUCACCAGCUUGUCUGUCUGCAUGCCUAACCACAAGUACCACUGCAUCACCACCACUUUAUCUGCCUGACCACCAACACCACUAUCGCAUCACCAGUUUGCCCGCCUGCCUCGCCAUUCUCCACACGUGCUGGUCUAGGGUUCGUGGGUGUCGCGGCGUCGUGUCUUCAGUCUUCUUGUCAACCAACCCAGUGACUUGGGGAAGGGAGUGUGCAGCCGAGAGAGGCCAGCUCUUUUGGUUCUGCUGUGGCUUCAAGGGAAGUAUGCAGUGUAGCCAACUUGUGGUGCAGCGAAGAGUGGUCCUUUCCCUCAGGCCUGGAAGCAAACAUGUGCCAUGAAGCAAAGGAGCCGAGAUGCUGCUCCCCCUUGAAGUAAGACAGGUACCACCCACCACCACCAGCCUGUAAGGGCAAGCAGAACAAGCACUUGGCACACUGCAGGGUGGUGAGGGAGGGCGGCACCAACUACUCCACCACACUACUGACCCUUCCUGGUGACGACGGGCAGAGCUGCCAGCUUAUUAUAAUAUGGCAUAAGGAGCUGGUGUGUUGUUGGCUGCAGCAAAUAUUUGGUGCUUGUUGUAGCAACCUAUUUGGCCAUUCUUGAUCUCCAAGAUGUCAGCUACAAGCUCUUCCAGAGGAUCGAGGGACAGGGGAGUUGGACCACCACCUACAAAAUAAUCUGUAAUGAAAGUUAAACAAGUCUAAGUUAAUUUCAUUACAUUUAGGAAUUAAUGACCAUACCAGCUUUGCUAAUACAAUGUGGUUUAGCACCUACCAUGUAAUGUACAUGAGACUAAAGUACUGCUAUUUUAUUAUAGUUCACUCAAGACAAGGAGUGCAUUUCCUUCAUAGGCACAUUGGCAUGGGUUUUUCAACCCAAAUACAUGAAAAUUUUGUGUUAAUGUUACUGAAGAAAUGUACUGGAGUUAAAAGAAAAAGACAAGUUGCUACUACCCCCUAAAAUAGAAGCUAACUUGCAAAAUAUGCAAAUGACACCUGCAGUUCCCUUUCAGAUAUGUAUUACCUCAGCUCUCAUUUCUUUGCUAGAGUUUGCUCUGUCUUUUUCACCUGAUACUGAAAGUGAUUUAUUCUGAUGUAUGUGUCUAAAGGUGAAAAAGUGCCCCAGUUGAGUUAGAUACCCAAGCUUUAUGAAUUUCUAAUUGAAUGAAAGUGAAAUUGUCCUUAUCUGUUCCAUGCAUAGCCUCCUUAUAUCUCAUAAUAUUAGGCUUUGCAUCUGUGAAUUAAUUGCCAGUGCUUCUGGCAGUCCACCUCAAUGUGGAAGAUGGAGGGAGAGGCCUCGCUGAGCUGGGAAGCAAUGGCAGUCCGUGCAUCCUGUUUCCUUCUGUGUUAUCCCAGGCUUAGUAGAAAAGGAUGCAGUCAGCAAGCUGACAUGUUCUUGGUACAACUGUAGCAAGGCUUGGUACAACUGUAGCAAGGACAUCAUCUCUUCUGCAGUCCAGUUUGGCUUCCUCAUCCUCUUGGCAGGGUCUUCUGUCAGCAGGGUCUUGGGCUUAGCCAUGCUGCUUUGUUUACAAUGGAGAGUGGAGACACAAUAUGGUGCAUCCCAUAGUUAAUGCACAUGGUGCAUCCGUAGUUAAUGCACAUGGUAAAUAAGUACGUCCUACAGUCAUCCUCUUCUGAUACAAUGGUACAAAUAUCAUAUUUCAUAAAUAUAACUAGUUUUCUAAAACUUUUCCAUUAUAUUUUGUCAUCAAACAAUAUUGAUUUUAGAUGUGCUAACUGCUAGAUGUAGCAGUCUGCUAGGAAGCUUGCCUGAGAUUUUUAUGGAGCUAGGUGCUGCCUUCGAACAAAAUCUCGAGUUUUUUUUCCUAGUUCAGUACAUCUUUGGGUUUGAAUCUGAGCACUCUUAUAAAUAUGAGCCCUGAUUGGCAGAAAAUCUCAAUUUAUUGCUAUGGUCAAGGAGAAAGCUCCACACACACUGUUUUACAUCGCCAAGCUCUGGCAUCCAAAACAUUGCCAAAGAAACUUAGAAGUGAUUGGAAUAGUUAUGCAAACAGUCAACUCUAUUUGCGGAUGUGCAGUGAAUCAUUGGCUAUUUAAAAAAUUCUGUGAUGAGAGUGGAGUGGAACACGGCAUAUUACUGUACCACAGAGGUAUGUCGGCUGAGUCAUGGCAGUGUUUUCGUACAUGUUGUGGAACUUCAGGAUCAAAUUUUUGAAUUCCUCAAGGAUCAACAAUCCCCUCCAUAAUAAAUCCCUUUGAAGAUGAACAUUUUAAGGUUAUAGUCUGGGAUAUUUGGGUGAUAUUUUCAGUUUCCUCAAGGAUUUGAACAUAUCAAUGCAGGGAAGGGACAUGAUUCGAGCCAGGGAAAAAAGUUAUCUUGUAAAUAUUUACAAGGAAGUUACCUAUCUUGAGUCGCCGUGUUGAAAGUGGAAACCUUGCAAACUUUACAAUCCUUGACAAUAUAUCCUUACUGGAGAUUCCAAAACCCAAGAAAAAGCUGAUUUUGAGAGGGCUGUGGUGGAUGUCAAGCAGUUUUGGUGAGAGCAAAUAGCAGUUUACCCAAGCUUGACAAUGAUGGCAAUGAAUGUUUUGGUUCCCUUCACAACUACAUACCUCUGUGAAACAGGAUUCUCUAUUACUUCUAAAUCUGAAAUAAAAGUGUAAGUUGUUGAUGUGUCAGAUGACAUGCAAGUAGCUUUGUCAAUAAUUGUACCCAGAUUCCACAAAAGCUGCAGCAAAUAUCUCACUAGAUUAGUAAGAGUGUAUUAUGUAACUGAAAUAAAAAAAACAAAGCCUUCUUUUGUAGUAAUAAAAUUAAUCUAAGUAGUAAAGUUGCCGAUUUAUAAUCUGAAACAGGUGAAAAAGUUGUAUCAUAAAAUAGUUGUAGCUGUUUGCAUGUGAAAAAGUUGUAUUGUAAAAUAGUUGUAGCUGUUUGCAUAUUUGUCAUUUCUCAUUUUUUAUUUUGCUUUUAUGUGUAAGUAAAUAUGAUAAAGUGAUCAAAGCUUA